UGUGCAGAGGCUGGAGGGUGGACAGGGGCUGGGAGGGGCUGGAGAAGAGGCCGGUGUUGCUUCUGACACUCGAACUCCUCAGAAUUGCCACCCGCCCUGUGUGUCAGCACUGAGAGGGCAUUUUAGAGAUGGACAGAGGCCUGGCCUUCAUUUUUUGAGUACCUUGAAUAUUUGAAAAAAGAAGAAAAAUGCCAGAAUUGGUACAAAAAAUUGUAGGUGGUAUAUUCUAUUUAGAUGCUUAAUAAAAAAAAUGCUGCUAAACACUUAUAAAAAUACAAUGGCUAGGAGGACCGUCAUUUGGAGAGAAUGAUUCCAUAGAUCCAUAGACCAUAGAUUCACAGUCUAUGAUUUGAGUCGUUUGUGAAUGAGAUUCAGAAUGCGUGGCUCUCCUGGUCCUCUGCUCCCCUUCACCUCCGUGUUAGAUAUGGGUGCCUUUGGCGGGGCGGGGUGGGGGGUCUCCUGCUGGAGGGCUCAGGGCCCCACUCUUCUACGGGACAAAAGCCUUCAGAUCAACCUUGUGCCCCUGGGGAGAGGAGUGGUGCCCUCAGGGUGGCCUGGCCUGGGCAGGGAGGGUCUCCUUACUGGGCUGGGGUGAACAGCAGGUGGAGGGACACAACCUGAGUCAUCCGUGGGACACGAUGCCCCCUUCUCCUGAUGGCCUCCUCCUCCAGCCAGGGGCUCAUCACUGGGGUAUCUGGGUUACCUUGGUUACAACAUGGGAAAAGGAAGUUUUGCAAAUGGCUUCUCCUUGGGUGCUUUCAGACUUAAGAAAUAGCUCCAUCAUUUGUGGCCAGCUUUCUGCUGGUUUCCUUCUGUGAUGAUAGCAGCCGCCAGUUCACCUCAUGACAUGCCUACAUCAGCCAGACAUUGUGUUAAGAGCUGAAAAUACAGCGGUUAUUCACGCUGGCUGUCCUGGGGGCAGGGGAGCUGACCGUUGAUUUGGGAGAAAGGCACAAGUGUGUGAGUCACCUCCAUGUAAUGAAGUGAGCACUCUUCUUGGAUUAUGACAGAACCAUAGAGGAGAGCCGCCCACCCAGGGCGGGGUGUUCCUGAGAAGGUUCUGGAACAGAGAGGGAGGCUGAGCUGAAUCCUGAUGAAGAAAGGACUUAGCCAGGCUGGAGUGGGUUGUGAGAAGAUCCAAGGGACGGGGGCACCCAGCUCGGGUCGAGACUACAUUUCCAACAGUGGGAGUUCAGGGUCAGAAGGUAGAAUGACAACUACAGAAAACUUUCAAUACCAGGUUUUUCCUCCAAGGAAAUCAACGUCCAUUGGCGUUCCCCUCCGCAGAGCAUGAGAGUCUUUCUAUCCCCACCUGCCCCUCCACCCGUGUGAGUGAGUUUUAAUAAAACUCACUUCCUCCACCUGUGCCAA